rnacentral:misc_RNA from 1 species
GAAAUGCGAUAAGUAAUGUGAAUUGCAGAAUUCAGUGAAUCAUCGAAUCUUUGAACGCCCAUUGCGCCCGCCAGUAUUCUGGCGGGCAUGCCUGUUCGAGCGUCAUUUCAACCAUCAAGCCCCCGGCUUGUGUUGGGGACCUGCGGCUGCCCGCAGGCCCUGAAAAACAGUGGCGGGCUCGCUGUCACACCGAGCGUAGUAGCAUACAUUCUCGCUCAGGGCGUGCUGCGGGUUCCGGCCGUUAAACGACCUUCAUAACCCAAGGUUGACCUCGGAUCAGGUAGGAAGACCCGCUGAACUUAAGC